AUGGAUUUCAUGAAGGCCUUCGAUCAGACCGUGCGGGAGAUAAAGAGGGAGGUCAAUCUCAAGGUGCUCAAGGUCCCCGAGCUCGAACAGAAGGUACUUGACGCGACAAGUGAUGAACCUUGGGGUCCACACGGGUCUGCUCUUUCAGAGCUAGCUCAGGCCACCAAGAAAUACUCUGAGUGUCAGAUGGUGAUGGGUGUCCUCUGGGCCAGGCUGGGUGAGCGAGAUGCAAACUGGCGUCAUGUGUAUAAGGCACUGACGAUUAUUGAGUACUUGAUAGCGAAUGGUUCUGACCGGGCAGUUGAUGACAUUCUCGAUCAUUAUUCAAAGAUCUCGGUUCUUUCGAGUUUUGAGUUUGUGGAACCUAAUGGAAAAGACUCUGGAAUAAAUGUGAGGAAGAAAGUGGAAACUCUGGUGGGGAUCAUCAAUGAUAAGGAGAGAAUAAAGGCUGUGAGAGAGAAAGCGGCUAGUAACCGUGACAAGUACGUUGGGUUAUCAUCAACUGGGUCAUAUAGAUCAAGCUCAGCCUCUGGAGGUAGCAACUACAGUUCAGGUGAACGCUAUGGCAGUUUUGGUGGCACAAGGGAGGCUGAUUCGUUCAGUAACAGUUACAGGGACAAAGAACCUGUUAAAACCUCUUCAAGUAAUACUGGCAGGCGCAGAUCUGGCAGCAAGAUAAGAAAGGAUGCGGAUCAUGAUAGAAGCUCCUCGAAGUCACCAUCUAACACAAAAGGCAAUGAGGAUGAGUUUGAUGACUUUGAUCCUCGUGGAUCUUCUUCAAAUGGUGCAGCUAAUACAAAGACUGCCGAGGUGGAUCUUCUUGGCCCAAACUUGAUGGAUGAUUUCCUUGACGAGCCUGCAGCCACUCCAUCAGCAAAAAGUGCUGUAGAACCUCAGGUUGAUCUGUUUGCUGAUGCAGACUUCCAAUCGGCAAUCCCAGGUGCCGAAACAACUGCGCAUCAGGAUGUCCAGGAAACUGUUGACCUUUUUUCGGGAAAUGCUACCUUUGCUUCAGCAUUUCCACCACAGACUGGGUUUAUCCCACCACCAACUUCUGGGACACCUUCUAAUGCUAAUACUUCCGUUUCCAAGAACACAGUACCUGAACCAUUUGAUCCUUUCGGUGAUAUUCCUUUAAGCAGUUUUGGGGGAUCUGACCCAUUUGGUGACUUCAGCUCAUCUAGUGCACCACCACCACCUGUACACAGCUCCACUGGAAAUAUUAGCACGUCGAGUCAGAACCUUGAGGCAGCAUCGGACUUUGGUGCCUUUGAAUCAAACACUGUGGAUACAGCUAAAGACCCCUUCGACUUUUCUUCCACUGGCAAUUUUGGCAAAGCAGAUGUAGCACCUUUGGCAGCUCCCAAAACUGAUGCGUCUGACUUUGGUGCCUUCGUUGCAAACACUGUAGAAGCAACUAAAGACCCCUUUGAUCUUUCUUCAAGUAUUAAUGGAAGGGCAGACCAAACACCUUUGGCUGCUCCCAAGCCCAACACCAAGAAAGAAAAUUUUCAGGUUAAAUCUGGCAUAUGGGCUGACUCUUUGAGCCGUGGAUUAAUUGAUCUGAACAUAACUGGACCAAAGAAGGUGAACCUAGCCGAUGUUGGGGUCGUCGGCGGCCUCAGUGAUGGGUUCGACGACAAGGCUCAACCCUCAUGGAACAUGGGUGCAGGGGGAUCUGGCCAACCCUCAUGGAACAUGGGUGCAGGGGGGUCUGGCCUAGGAAUGUCUGGAAUUCCUCCGUCUACGCAAGGCGGUGGCAUCGAGAGCUUGGCAAACUACAACAAGUAUCAGUUUGGUGGCUUCAAAUGA
rnacentral:rRNA from 1 species